GACGAACGCUGGCGGCGUGCUUAACACAUGCAAGUCGAACGGAAAGGCCCUGCUUUUGUGGGGUGCUCGAGUGGCGAACGGGUGAGUAACACGUGAGUAACCUGCCCUUGACUUUGGGAUAACUUCAGGAAACUGGGGCUAAUACCGGAUAGGAGCUCCUGCUGCAUGGUGGGGGUUGGAAAGUUUCGGCGGUUGGGGAUGGACUCGCGGCUUAUCAGCUUGUUGGUGGGGUAGUGGCUUACCAAGGCUUUGACGGGUAGCCGGCCUGAGAGGGUGACCGGCCAAAUUGGGACUGAGAUACGGCCAAGACUCAUACGGGAGGAAGCAGGGGGGAAUAGUGCACAAUGGGCGGAAGCCUGAUGAAGAAACGCCGCGUGCGGGAUGACGGCCUUCGGGUUGUAAACCGCUUUCGCCUGUGACGAAGCGUGAGUGACGGUAAUGGGUAAAGAAGCACCGGCUAACUACGUG
rnacentral:rRNA from 1 species